AAGUAAAAAGUCGUAACCAAGGGUCUCCGUUGGUGAAACCAGCGGAGGGAAUCAUUUA
rnacentral:rRNA from 1 species